CUUCUAGUCAGGACGAACGCUGGCUGCGUGCUUUUACACAUGCAAGUCGAACGAUGAACCACUUCGGUGGGGAUUAGUGGCGAACGGGUGAGUAACACGUGGGCAAUCUGCCCUGCACUCUGGGACAAGCCCUGGAAACGGGGUCUAAUACCGGAUAUGAGCCUCCUCCGCAUGGUGGAGGCUGUAAAGCUCCGGCGGUGCAGGAUGAGCCCGCGGCCUAUCAGCUUGUUGGUGAGGUAACGGCUCACCAAGGCGACGACGGGUAGCCGGCCUGAGAGGGCGACCGGCCACACUGGGACUGAGACACGGCCCAGACUCCUACGGGAGGCAGCAGUGGGGAAUAUUGCACAAUGGGCGAAAGCCUGAUGCAGCGACGCCGCGUGAGGGAUGACGGCCUUCGGGUUGUAAACCUCUUUCAGCAGGGAAGAAGCGAAAGUGACGGUACCUGCAGAAGAAGCGCCGGCUAACUACGUGCCAGCAGCCGCGGUAAUACGUAGGGCGCAAGCGUUGUCCGGAAUUAUUGGGCGUAAAGAGCUCGUAGGCGGCUUGUCACGUCGGUUGUGAAAGCCCGGGGCUUAACCCCGGGUCUGCAGUCGAUACGGGCAGGCUAGAGUUCGGUAGGGGAGAUCGGAAUUCCUGGUGUAGCGGUGAAAUGCGCAGAUAUCAGGAGGAACACCGGUGGCGAAGGCGGAUCUCUGGGCCGAUACUGACGCUGAGGAGCGAAAGCGUGGGGAGCGAACAGGAUUAGAUACCCUGGUAGUCCACGCCGUAAACGGUGGGCACUAGGUGUGGGCAACAUUCCACGUUGUCCGUGCCGCAGCUAACGCAUUAAGU
rnacentral:rRNA from 1 species